AGGGAUGUAGCUCAGUGGUACAGCACAUGUUUACCAUGUAUGAGGCCUUGAGUUCAAUGCCCAGCAUCAAAA
rnacentral:tRNA from 1 species